AGGACUGUAGCUCAGUUGGUUAGAGCACCACCUUGACAUGGUGGGGGUCGCUGGUUCGAAUCCAGUCAGUCCUACCA
rnacentral:tRNA from 2 species